CGGUAAUUCCAGCUCCAAUGGUGUAUGCUAACAUUGUUGCAGUUAAAAAGCUCGUAGUCGAAUUUUUAAGGGAAUCAAUUUCGUGUGGUCUUAAUGAACUACAAAGGAAGAUGAUUCAUCUUAUUUUGCGCUUAUACACCGUUGGAAUUCGUUUUCUGACAGUAAAUUAAGUGUGUAUUUACUUUGAGAAAAUUAGAGUGUUCUAAGCAGUCUUACGGCUUUAUCCUAAAGCAUGGAAUGAUAAGUAAUGACAUCGGUUAAUUUCUGUUGGUUUGAGAGGUUGAUGUAAUGAUUUAUAGAGUUAGUCGGAGGUAUUAGUAUUUUGUCGUUAGAGGUGAAAUUCCGGGAUCGACAAAAGACUAACAACUGCGAAGGCAUUUACCUAGGAUUUGCUCCUUGAUCAAGAACGUAAGUUGGGGGAUCGAAGACGAUCAGAUACCGUCGUAGUCUCAACUUUAAACUAUAUCAGCUAGGGGUUGGCAAAUGUUUAUAUGACUUUGUUAGAACCUUAAGAGAAAUCAAAGCGUUUGGGUUCCGGGGGGAGUAUGGCCGCAAGGCUGAAACUUAAAGGAAUUGACGGAAGGGCACCACAAGAUGUGGAUCCUGUGGCUUAAUUUGACUCAACAAUGGAAAACUUACCAGGUCCAGACAUAGGUAAGAUUGACAGAUUGAUAGCUCUUUCUUUAUUCUAUGGGUGGUGGUGCAUGGUCGUUCUUAGUUGGUGGAGUGAUUUGUCUGGUUAAUUCCGUUAACGAACGAGACUAUUACCUGCUAAAUAGUACGAUCUUUUAAUUAGGAUAGUUGCUUCUUAGAAGGACUGGCUUUGCAUAAAUUGCUGGAAGUUGGUAGCAAUAACAGGUCUGUGAUGCCCUUAGGUGUCCUGGGCAGCGCACGGGCUACAAUAGGAGAGUAACUAAGCUUGUUCAACUUAGCUCGAAAAGGGCUGUGAAAUCUUAAAACUAUUCUUUAUUUGGGAUCGCGCUUUGAAAUUUUAACGUGUAAACCAGGAAUACCUAGUAAGUGUAUGUCAUCAACGUGCACUGAAUACGUCCCUGCCUCCUUGUACACACCGCCC
rnacentral:rRNA from 1 species